rnacentral:lncRNA from 1 species
GUCCCCAACACAUGGAAUGCGACUCACCUUAAAUUUUAUUACAGUUGAAAUUAUUGUUUACAUUUACGAACAAUGUUAUGUUCCUUCACAUAUUUUUCAAUGAAGUAUUCCAGUUCCAGCAUAUGCUUUGUAUAGGUAAAAGAUGGGCGCCAUGCCCCCUAGAUUAUUCAAUCUAGGUAAAAGAUGGGCGCCAUGCCCCCUAGAUUCUUCAAUCUAGGUAAAAGAUGGGCGCCAUGCCCCCUAGAUUCUUCAAUCUAGGUAGAAGAUGGGCGCCAUGCCCCCUAGAUUCUUCAAUCUAGGUAAAAGAUGGGCGCCAUGCCCCCUAGAUUCUUCAAUCUAGGUAAAAGACGGGCGCCAUGCCCACAAGAUUUUCA